AGUAGCUGCUAUUUAUAAGUAUCAGUUCCAAUUUACAAAUAGGAGUUCAGCAAGAGUCAUGUGGUCUUCUCCCCUCCUCAAGUAGGCGUGUUCUGUGGACAAGAUGGCGUCGGCAAAGUUCAUAAGCAAGUUGAAAAUUGAAACAAAUAUACAAUUGCAAGUUUAUCCACUUUAAAGACCUGUAAGGCUGUAACAGCUUUACAGGAUGAAAAAAGAGGAAAAGACUAAAUUAAUAACGAAGAAAUUAUGAUAUCGAAACUGCUCAAUAGUUGUAUCACUCCGCAGUGAUGUUAUCCUGAUUAUGUAUUUAUGACAUGCCCUUAAUUAAAUAUUUUUUUGAAUUCUGUUGUUGCUGUUUUGUGUGAAAAUUACAAAGUCAUAAAUGAG